rnacentral:ncRNA from 1 species
GUUUAGCAUCAAGAACGCUUAUGCGUACCAACCGACACGCUCGUUGCACGGUGGUUUAGAAUGCGGGGCUCCUCCCAAAAAAACGAGAAAUC